rnacentral:rRNA from 1 species
UACGUAGGGGGCAAGCGUUGUCCGGAAUCAUUGGGCGUAAAGCGCGUGUAGGCGGCUCGGUAAGUCCGCUCUGAAAGUCCGGGGCUCAACCCCGGGAGGCGGGUGGAUACUGUCGAGCUAGAGUCCGGAAGAGGCGAGUGGAAUUCCUGGUGUAGCGGUGAAAUGCGCAGAUAUCAGGAGGAACACCAAUGGCGAAGGCAGCUCGCUGGGACGGUACUGACGCUGAGACGCGAAAGCGUGGGGAGCAAACAGG